UACGAAGGGAGCUAGCGUUGUUCGGAAUUACUGGGCGUAAAGGGCGCGUAGGCGGUUCGACAAGUUGGAUGUGAAAGCCCCAGGGCUCAACCCUGGAAUUGCAUUCAAGACUGUUUUACUUUGAAUUCGGUAGAGGUGAGUGGAAUUCCCCAGUGUAGAGGGUGAAAAUUCGUAGAUAUUCGGAAGAACACCAGUGGCGAAGGCGACUCACUGACACGUAUUGACGCUGAGGUGCGAAAGCGUGGGGAGCAAACAGG
rnacentral:rRNA from 1 species